GCCGGGCGUGGUGGCGCAUGCCUGUAAUCCCAGCUACUCAGGAGGCUGAGGCAGGAGAAUUACUUGAGCCUGGGAGGCAGAGGUUGCAGUGAGCCCAGAUCGCGCCACUGCACUCUAGCCUGGCAACAGAGCGAGACUCUGUCUCAA
rnacentral:SRP_RNA from 1 species